rnacentral:rRNA from 1 species
GAUGAACGCUGGCGGCGUGCCUAAUACAUGCAAGUCGAGCGAAUGGAUUAAGAGCUUGCUCUUAUGAAGUUAGCGGCGGACGGGUGAGUAACACGUGGGUAACCUGCCCAUAAGACUAGGAUAACUCCGGGAAACCGGGGCUAAUACCGGAUAAUAUUUUGAACUGCAUGGUUCAAAAUUGAAAGGCGGCUUCGGCUGUCACUUAUGGAUGGACCCGCGUCGCAUUAGCUAGUUGGUGAGGGAACGGCUCACCAAGGCAACGAUGCGUAGCCGACCUGGGAGGGUGAUCGGCCACACUGGGACUGAGACACGGCCCAGACUCCUACGGGAGGCAGCAGUAGGGAAUCUUCCGCAAUGGACGAAAGUCUGACGGAGCAACGCCGCGUGAGUGAUGAAGGCUUUCGGGUCGUAAAACUCUGUUGUUAGGGAAGAACAAGUGCUAGUUGAAUAAGCUGGCACCUUGACGGUACCUAACCAGAAAGCCACGGCUAACUACGUGCCAGCCGCCGCGGUAA